CCUACGGGAGGCAGCAGUAGGGAAUCUUCCGCAAUGGACGAAAGUCUGACGGAGCAACGCCGCGUGAGCGAAGAAGGCCUUCGGGUCGUAAAGCUCUGUUGUCAGGGAAGAACAAGUGCCGGAGUAACUGCCGGCACCUUGACGGUACCUGGCCAGAAAGCCACGGCUAACUACGUGCCAGCAGCCGCGGUAAU
rnacentral:rRNA from 1 species